rnacentral:lncRNA from 1 species
UUUGCCUUCUCUUCGACAUAUUUUUAACAUUUGUUUCGAGUUGCACAAGUGGUAAGAAUCAUCCUGGCUAGUGAAAGACAGGGAACGAAUAUUCAAACCUCAAGAAAUUUUGGAAAGACGUUAUUUGUAAAGGUAAAAAAAUACUGUUUAUAUGUUCAAUAUUAAUUUGUGAUAGAGUAUGUCAAAACAAAGCGAAAUAAAUAGCCCAUUUGUACUGUGUAGUGGACAAUUUUAGCAACUGAUGUAUACAAUUAAGUUGCCCAAACUAUAUUAAUACGAGAAACAGUCUUCCUCGAAAGAAAAUGGUUGAAAUUUCAGAUUUUAGUUUCAUUUGUUAUUUCAAAUUUUACGAUAUAAAAUGCCAGUCGACCACCAUCUGCUUCAUGAUCAUACUUAUUAAAAUUAAAGUGGUUUCUAUUAUAUUAGUAUACCUAUAGAGGAAGACCUUUUUAAGCCAGAACUAUCAUGGCUUGGCUUUGAAUGAUUUAAUCCAUGUACUUUAUAACUGGCCACUUAUAUGGCAAUGAAAUUAUAAUGACUAAUGUGUAGAAUUAUCAAGUCUAGAUCCAAAAAUUGGCAGUUUCAUAUAUAAGAUCAGGCAUAUAUAAGAUCAAAGCUAUUUUCAUAUAUAAGAUCAGGUUUAGAGGCCUGUAGCAUUUUCUCUAGAAAUUGCAUGAGUAAAAUCAAUUUCAUAAUUAACCCGUUGAGCCGCAAUGCGCCCUACUUAUUUUUUUACUUGCCAGAUGAUUUUACUUGUCAAUGGGGAAGCUCUGCAGCUUAUCGGUUAACCAAAAAAAACUGACAAUGUCUCUAGUUAACCUAUUGAGCCGCAAUGCGCCCUAGUGUGCCCUACUUUUUUUUUACUUUCUAAAGCCAGACAAUAUUACUCGUCAAUGGGGAAGCUCUGCAGCUUAGUGGGUUAAUUAGAAAAUGAACCAUUCUUGACAUUCACUCAUGAUAUUUGAUGUUGGUAAUUCAUGUAUUUUUGGAGGAAAAUAUUUUAGACAGUGGUUGUUUGCCUGACACCAAACCCCAAUAUUUACAUGCUAUUUGUCUAAGUGAACUAUUUUCCUCAUUUUCAACAUGCCAAAGUGAUACAAAAUAAAUUUCAGUUAAAUUCAAGGAGGUCCUCGGACCCGUAAGUUGUCAACUGACGACUAUCACCUUCAUUGUUAGUUAAGCAUAUAUCUGCUUAAGUCCUGGGUUCAAAUGAGUGGAAUUUCAAGAGCAUUCUGACUGGCUUUGUGCAAACAGGGGGCCUUACCGGUUAGGAUGAGGGCCAGUUGAGGUGUUAGGGUUGGGUGCAGGCAAGGUUCAUGUAAACUUAUUGUUAGCAAGAAUCAGAGAAGGAUUUUCAUAUUUUUGUUCGGGGGGGGGGUAAAUAUCUGGGGGGGUGAUGCUGCUUGCUUUGGCCGGGGCAACGCCUGGAAAGGCCAAGGAAAAAGUUUAACAAAAUUUGUUUUCUAUGUCUGCAUGGCAAGAUCUGAGACCAUAAUAUUGGUAAUUUUACAAAUUUAGUAGUAAGAAUAAUCAAAUAUGAAACUAUCAAAUCAAAAUAUAUAUAAUUUGUGGGGGUGCAAACAAAAACUUUGGGGGGCAGUGCCAAAUGCCUCUUGGGGGGGGGGGGGGUUUGCAAAUAAUUUCUGUGGUACACCCCCCCCCCCCAGAAAAUCUGUGCCUGGCAAGAAUGUUAUGUGUACAUAAUCAUGUGUAAUGUUGUUUGGAUUAAUUGCAUUUAAACGUUGGAAUCCAGUGUCGAACAGUAACCACAACAAUUAUUAUAUAAAGUAUUUGGUUGUUUUAGUGUAAUAUUAAUUUCUCACAUAUUUUUUUCAGAAAUAAAGCACCAUUGAGCAACUUGUUGCGAAAGAGGAGUCACAAACUGUUGAUGAAUAUAUUUAAUUAACUACACAUAAAAUACAAUUUUAUUAACAGUAUAUUGAUUUAUGGGUUUAUUAGACCACAUUAUUUUCAUAUUAUUAAUAAUGAAAAAUAAAAUUAACAAAUAAAUUACAAAAUCAGUGUGAAAAUAUUGCAAUAAUCAAUUAAAAUGUCAAACCAGCCAAUUGUUUCAAAUUAUAGCUGUUAUCGUAAUUGAAUAUGUCUAUGCUAUGGACCAGUGGUAUCUGCAUUAUUUUAACAUCGAGACGAGGCUAUAGGGUCAUGUUUUGUGUUUUUUUACCCUUUAGCCUUGUUUUUGUCCGUAC